UGAAAAUGCCCUAAUGCCGCAGUCUGGCUGGGCACAAUUCAGGAGCCACUUGUCAAAAGAAACGAACUUCAUUUUUAGAACACACACACCAAACCACACAACUCCUCAGGAAAACCUUCAGAGCCCAACUGCCACCACCGACUUCCCACAAGCCUCUCAAUCCCCCCACUCCUCCUGCUCUUGAGGCUGAUUGGCUGGGUCACAUGGGCGGAGCCAAAAGAGUCCCCCAAUGAGCAGCUCUGUGGUCUGAAAGGGCGGGGAAACAGCCCAAUGAGCAUCACCUCAGAGGAGUCAAUCAGCUGGCAGCUGGAAGUUUGCUGGGGCCGCUGUGAGCCAAUCAUCAACUGGCAGCCGGAAGUUUGCUGGGGCCCCUUUGGCUGUGGCUCUCAACACCCUUCUACCUUCAGCAAGUCAGCAAGAGACACUUGGGUCUCCCUGCAAGUCAGACACUCAGAGGUGGCACAGCAGGAAGUUGGAGGCUGCCUUCAAUGACUCUUGGUGUUGCAGCCCCAACAACUGUGGCACCUCCAGCUGGGAGCUACAACUUGAAGGACAGCUCCUUGGACAGAUCCUGAGCUAAUAGUCUCCACCUGCACCUUCCUGGUGGUGUGGCUCAGAGCUUCCUCUAGAUUAGAACUGUGAUGUGCAGUGCAAGGCAAAAGAAGCAAAUAGUUUGAUCUCUCUAUGCUUCUGAGAGACUUCUAUGAGGCCUUCAGUCAUGUAGAGAAGAAACAAAGUCUAAGACAAAUAUGGUCUCCUGUCCUUAAGAUAGCUGAGGAAUCAAAUUCAGAUGCAAGUUUUGAAUCUGCCACAUUUAGCAGAAAACAUAAAACGCUGUGUGGACACAGGGAACUGAUAUGGAAUCCAUCUAAAGCAGCAAGUUCAUUAUGUAUAGCUUUCUUGUCUUUGGAAGUGAACAGAGUCUUGGCUGUAGGGUCCUGAGAGGCCUUAGGGUCUUAUACAGUUAGCAGCAGAAAGUAGCCACAGUUAUCUUGAUCUUAAGUAAAAACAUCCUUUUCAAAGUAUGAGACUCCUUUUCCAUUAUGGGGCACAUCUAAGAGCUGGCAUACAAAAAUUCGGGGACAUUCUCAUCCCCUUAGGAGGAUCCUGAUAGAAUCAACCAAAUUUAUGGAACUCGUUAACAGUGUGGCCUGAGCAUGAAGAUCAGUGGGUCCAGAAAGUGGCAUCUCUCUGGCUCAUGCUUGUGAGGCAGCUGGGACUAAUGUCACAUGUGUGAAUCCCUCCCUUUCCAAUUUGUUUUAUGCUUAUGCACUAACCUUAUUAAAUUCUCUGUAGGGAUAGUUGUGGGUGGUUGAGCUAUGCUGACCUCUCUCACCCAUCCAGUGAGCAGGGAAGCCAAGAGAUUGUACCUACCCUUUAUUGCUGCUGUAGUCCCUCCCAGCCACCCCAACAUGGUUUCAAUUUGUGCAGUUUGUUACCCAAGGUCAAAUGUAUCCCAAGAAUAUUAAGUGGAAAAUUCCAUAAAUAAAC
rnacentral:lncRNA from 1 species